rnacentral:rRNA from 2 species
UACGUAGAUGGCAAGCGUUGUCCGGAUUUAUUGGGCGUAAAGCGAGCGCAGGCGGUUCUUUAAGUCUGAUGUGAAAGCCCCUGGCUCAACCAGGGAGGGUCAUUGGAAACUGGAGAACUUGAGUGCAGAAGAGGAAAGUGGAAUUCCAUGUGUAGCGGUGAAAUGCGUAGAUAUAUGGAGGAACACCAGUGGCGAAGGCGACUUUCUGGUCUGUAACUGACGCUGAGGCUCGAAAGCAUGGGGAGCAAAC